GACGAACGCUGGCGGCGUGCCUAAUACAUGCAAGUAGAACGCUGAAGAGAGGAGCUUGCUCUUCUUGGAUGAGUUGCGAACGGGUGAGUAACGCGUAGGUAACCUGCCUGGUAGCGGGGGAUAACUAUUGGAAACGAUAGCUAAUACCGCAUGAUAUUAAUUGUCGCAUGAUAAUUAAUUGAAAGAUGCAAUUGCAUCACUACCAGAUGGACCUGCGUUGUAUUAGUUAGUUGGUGAGGUAACGGCUCACCAAGGCGACGAUACAUAGCCGACCUGAGAGGGUGAUCGGCCACACUGGGACUGAGACACGGCCCAGACUCCUACGGGAGGCAGCAGUAGGGAAUCUUCGGCAAUGGGGGGAACCCUGACCGAGCAACGCCGCGUGAGUGAAGAAGGUUUUCGGAUCGUAAAGCUCUGUUGUAAGAGAAGAACGGGUGUGAGAGUGGAAAGUUCACACUGAGAC
rnacentral:rRNA from 1 species